AUGGAGGCGACGGCUAUCAGCAUUGGCAAGUCCGUGUUGAGCGGGGCGCUCAACUAUGCCCAGUCAGCCGUGGCCGAGGAGGUGGCUCUGCAGCUUGGUGUCCAUCGUGACCACUCCUUCAUUUCGGCCGAGCUUGAGAUGAUGCAAGGUUUCUUGAUGGCCGCACAUGAUGAGCGGGACGACAACAAGGUGGUGAAGAUCUGGGUGAAGCAAGUCCGCGAUGUGUCCUAUGCUGUCGAGGACUGCCUCCUUGAUUUUUCUGUCCGUCUUGAGAAGCAAUCCUGGUGGUGUCUCUCUCGCAAGGUGCUAGCUCGGCGCUAUGUGGCGAAGCAGAUGAAAGACCUCAGAGCUGAGGUGGAGGAAGUCAGCCAGAGGAACCAACGGUACCACCUCAUCAAAGGCUCUAGCUCCAACCCUACCUCCGCUGUUGGGCAGCCUAUCAACUCUAGUGCGACGACGUCUGCUGUCGAUGAUGCAAGACUGCGGUGGCAGAAAGCUAAAAUGGGUCUUGUCAAGCUGAUCAAUUGCAAGGAUGAUGCACUUCGAGUGAUAGCGUUGUGGGGCACAAGUAGCAGUGAUCUGGGGGAGAUAUCCAUCAUCAGAAGCGCCUAUGAAGAUCCCAUUAUACACAAGAAUUUUGAUUGUUGUGCUUGGAUCACAUUAAUCUCUCCUUUUAAUCAGACAGAGUUCAUUCGAAGUAUUGUUCGACAAAUCUAUGUUAAUUCUUUUCAAGAGAUAGGAGAAGAGGAGAAAACAACUAUUGGGACCCAAGUUUUGAAGAUGAUGGUGAUGACAGAAGAAGAUAGUUUGGCUUCUAAGUUCAGGAGAUAUUUGAAUGACAAGAGCUACCUAAUUGUACUCAAUGACAUAAACACCAUUGAAGAGUGGGAUUGCAUUAAAACUUAUUUCCCAAACAACAAGAAAGGAAGUCGAAUCAUAGUAUCCACGGAGCAAGCUGAAGUUGCAAGCUUAUGCAUAGGAGCAGAGGAUGAAGCUCUUGUGCGUAAGAAGUUAUUUGUUGAUCGGUCUCUUUAUGCUUUCUACAGUAAGGUAUAUCAGGAGGGAAGGAAUUCAGCAGAGAAAAGAUCCAUCUCGCACAUAGUCUCUACUGGUGUUAACAACUCUGCACACAAGAACAUCCUCACUCGCACGGAGACAAUGGCUACUCUAGAGGAAUCUCGUCUCAUCGGGAGAGGGAAUGAAAAAGUGGAAAUCAUCAAACUAGUCUCAAAUAAAGAUCUCCAGCAUUUUCAUGUGAUUUCCUUAUGGGGAAUGGGUGGUAUUGGAAAAACAACACUAGUGAGAGAUAUUUAUCAAAGCCAUGAGAUUAGUAGCAUGUUUGAUAAGCGUGCUUGUGUCACAGUCAUGCGCCCUUUCAACUCAGCAGCACUCCUUGAGAGCUUAGAAAGAUUUAAGGAGAUGUUUAGAAGGAAAGAGAUAUUUGCUUGUUCUUGA
rnacentral:rRNA from 1 species